rnacentral:snRNA from 1 species
UGAUAUGAGGGCAGUUUGUGAUACUUGUCACUCCCUUGAUCUCCAGGAUGAUUCAGCUGAUCUGGCUGGCUAGGCUGGUUUCUCCUAUCCCUCACUACUCAAUGUGUGUUCUUCACGAAGGUGUAUGCUGGGUUAGAGAUAACUUUCUCCUAUUGAGGAGAAUCAAUCUUUGCUCAAGGAUAUUUAUUUGAUUAGCUGCACCCUGUGUUAGAACCUCCAUACAAGCUCUUAUAAUUCAUUUGUAGGAGAAUGUAGUCAAGCUUCCAAACUCCAGAUAUAACCAAAUGUGGUGCUAUUUGUGGCAGUCGGCCUUUCUUU